UUUUUAAAUGUUUUACAGGUUGUCCGACUUAGAGCAAGGAUCCGCCCUAGCAAAAUUAAAAUUUACUUAUAAAUAAAUCUUAAAGAAUAAGAUUAAUAAAAUAAAAUACAAGAAAACUCUAGAAUAUGUUAGAUAUUAAUAUGUAAAUUGUUUAUAGUAAAAGUAUAAAUAAAUGGAAUAUUCUAGAAUUGAUUUAAUAAUUAAUAUCUAAGAUUUUUUCUUAAACAAUAAUAAAUAAUUUAAAUAUCUAGAUUAUUUUAAUUGUAAUAGAUGCAUAUAAAUACAAAAGGGAAUUAAACAUUCUUACUAAAAAAGAAAAAGAUUGCAGAAACUAUCUCUCUCUUCUCUCGCUCGCUCACCUCCAUCUUCUCUGCGUUCACCACUUUUCUUUCAUCCCUCUCUUCGUCUUCAAAUCCCAACAGCAUACUAAGUGCUAGGAGCGGCGCAUCCAAGGCUCGAGGAGGACAACCGAAGCAAGCUUGAAGAGGUUUGAAUUCAAUUACUUAAGGUUAAGGAGUUGACGGCAAGAAGGCAGACAUGGAGCUCCACAUUCUCCCGUUCUAUUAUAUGAUGAAGUAUUAUAUGUUGUUGUUUUUGGUAAAUAUAUCUUGCUACUAACCAACUUAGCCUCUUCCAAUUUUGGUGGGUCGAGACUUUAUAUAUAUUGGUUUAUGAUCAUGCAUUUUGAUGACGGCUGUGACCGAAUAUAUAUAUAUAUUUUGUUUACCGUAUGUGUAGUUACGAGCUGUGCCUCGAACACGUUAAUUAUACUUUUAAACUUGAUGGUUUUGUAUGUACUCCAUCUUUUUAUAUAUAUAAAUAUGAUGCUUAGAUAAAGUUAUUAUUGAAUGUCGUUUAUAUAACUUACAGCUUCCGUUGC